rnacentral:rRNA from 1 species
AGAGUUUGAUCCUGGCUCAGGAUGAACGCUGGCGGCGUGCUUAACACAUGCAAGUCGAACGAACCUUCGGGUUAGUGGCGGACGGGUGAGUAACGCGUGAGAAUCUGCCCUCAGGAGGGGGAUAACGGCUGGAAACGGCCGCUAAUACCCCAUAUGCCGAGAGGUGAAAUGAAUUUCGCCUGAGGAUGAGCUCGCGUCUGAUUAGCUAGUUGGUAAGGUAAGAGCUUACCAAGGCAUCGAUCAGUAGCUGGUCUGAGAGGAUGAUCAGCCACACUGGGACUGAGACACGGCCCAGACUCCUACGGGAGGCAGCAGUGGGGAAUUUUCCGCAAUGGGCGAAAGCCUGACGGAGCAACGCCGCGUGAGGGAUGAAGGCCUCUGGGCUGUAAACCUCUUUUCUCAAGGAAGAAGACAUGACGGUACUUGAGGAAUAAGCCACGGCUAAUUCCGUGCCAGCAGCCGCGGUAAUACGGGAGUGGCAAGCGUUAUCCGGAAUUAUUGGGCGUAAAGCGUCCGCAGGCGGCCUUUUAAGUCUGUUGUUAAAGCGUGGAGCUCAACUCCAUUUCGGCAAUGGAAACUGGAAGGCUGGAGUGUGGUAGGGGCAGAGGGAAUUCCCGGUGUAGCGGUGAAAUGCGUAGAUAUCGGGAAGAACACCAGUGGCGAAGGCGCUCUGCUGGGCCAUAACUGACGCUCAUGGACGAAAGCCAGGGGAGCGAAAGGGAUUAGAUACCCCUGUAGUCCUGGCCGUAAACGAUGAACACUAGGUGUCGGGGGAAUCGACCCCCUCGGUGUCGUAGCCAACGCGUUAAGUGUUCCGCCUGGGGAGUACGCACGCAAGUGUGAAACUCAAAGGAAUUGACGGGGGCCCGCACAAGCGGUGGAGUAUGUGGUUUAAUUCGAUGCAACGCGAAGAACCUUACCAGGGUUUGACAUCCUGCGAAUCCCUUGGAAACUUGGGAGUGCCUUCGGGAGCGCAGAGACAGGUGGUGCAUGGCUGUCGUCAGCUCGUGUCGUGAGAUGUUGGGUUAAGUCCCGCAACGAGCGCAACCCAUGUCUUUAGUUGCCAGCAUUUAGUUGGGCACUCUAGAGAGACCGCCGGUGAUAAACCGGAGGAAGGUGUGGAUGACGUCAAGUCAUCAUGCCCCUUACAUCCUGGGCUACACACGUACUACAAUGCUACGGACAAAGGGCAGCAAACUCGCGAGAGCUAGCAAAUCCCAUAAACCGUGGCUCAGUUCAGAUCGUAGGCUGCAACUCGCCUACGUGAAGGAGGAAUCGCUAGUAAUCGCAGGUCAGCAUACUGCGGUGAAUACGUUCCCGGGCCUUGUACACACCGCCCGUCACACCAUGGAAGUUGGCCACGCCCGAAGCCGUUACUCCAACCCUUGUGGAGGAGGACGUCGAAGGUGGGGCUGAUGACUGGGGUGAAGUCGUAACAAGGUA